AAGAAAGUAAAUAAGAGCGUAUGGUGGAUGCCUAGGCUCUCAGAGGCGAAGAAGGACGUAACAAGCUGCGAUAAGCUUCGGGGAGGUGCAAAUAACCCUUGAUCCGAAGAUUUCCGAAUGGGGCAACCUGUCAUGAUGAAGUCAUGAAAUCCCUGGCAACAGGGAAGCUAACCCGGUGAACUGAAACAUCUUAUUAGCCGGAGGAAGAGAAAACAAAAGUGAUUCUCCUAGUAGUGGCGAGCGAAAGGGGAAUAGCCCAAACCAUAAUUGUUUCGGCAAUUAUGGGGUAAUAGGACUGCGAUAUGAUUUUUGACUGGAAAUAGAAUUAUCUGGAAAGUUAAACCGAAGAGGGUGAUAGUCCCGUAGAUGAAAAAAGUCAAAGAGCUAGCAGUAUCCUGAGUACCGCGAAACACGAGAAAUUUUGUGGGAAUUUGCCAGGACCAUCUGGUAAGGCUAAAUACUCCUGAGAGACCGAUAGUGAACUAGUACUGUGAAGGAAAGGUGAAAAGCACUUCGAAUAGAAGAGUGAAAUAGUACCUGAAACCAUGCGCUUACAAGCAGUUGGAGUCCGCCUUUGGCGGAUGACAGCGUGCCUUUUGCAUAAUGAGCCUACGAGUUACUCCUCACUAGCGAGGUUAAAGACUUAAGGUCUGGAGCCGAAGCGAAAGCAAGUCUGAAUAGGGCGUAAAGUUAGUGGGGGUAAACGCGAAACUUUGUGAUCUACCCAUGAUCAGGAUGAAGUACUGGUAAAGCGGUAUGGAGGUCCGAACUAGUUGACGUUGAAAAGUCUUUGGAUGAAUUGUGGGUAGGGGUGAAAGGCUAAUCAAACUGAGAAAUAGCUCGUACUCCCCGAAAUGCAUUUAGGUGCAGCCUUGAGGUGAGUGUCAUAGAGGUAGAGCUACUGAUAAGGCUAGAGGGCUUCACGGCCUAUCAAACCUUGACAAACUCCGAAUGCUAUGACAUAUAUUCAGGAGUGAGCCAUUGGGUGCUAAUGUCCAGUGACAAAAGGGGAACAACCCAGACCAUCAGCUAAGGUCCCAAAAUAUAUGCUAAGUUGUAUUAACGAGGUGCGAUUGCAUUGACAGCUAGGAUGUUGGCUUGGAAGCAGCCAUUCAUUUAAAGAGUGCGUAACAGCUCACUAGUCGAGCGAUUGUGCAUGGAUGAUAAUCGGGCAUAAAGCAUAUUACCGAAGCUAUGGUAAUUAGAUGAAAAUUUAAUUAGGUAGGGGAGCAUUCAAGCUGCAGUGAAGAUGUAUCAUAAGGUAUGUUGGAGCGGCUUGAAAAGCAGAUGUAGGCAUAAGUAACGAUAAAGCGGGUGAAAAACCUGCUCACCGAAAGACCAAGGUUUCCUGAUCAACGUUAAUCGGAUCAGGGUUAGUCGGGAGCUAAGACGUAGUCGAAAGGCGAGGUCGAUGACCAACAGGUUAAUAUUCCUGUACUGGCAUAAAUUGCGAUGUGGUAACGAAAGAGUGAAAGUUCCGCGUACUGACGGAAAUGUACGUUGAAGGAGGUAGGUAAAUCUUUAGGUUAAUAGCUUAAGGAUGCCGAGACUGAUAGUACCGUGAGUCUUCGGACAAGCGGAUAGUGAACCUAAUCAAAUUUCCGAGAAAAACCGCUAAGCUUCAGAUUUAUGCCACCCGUACUCUAAACCGACACAGGUGGUCGAGGAGAAUAUCCUAAGGUGCUCGAGUGAUCCAUGGCUAAGGAACUAGGCAAAUUAGUCCUGUAACUUCGGGAAAAAGGACUCCCACGCAAGUGGGACGCAGAGAAAUGGCCCAAGCGACUGUUUAUCAAAAACACAUGGCUAUGCAAAAUCGAAAGAUGAAGUAUAUGGCCUGACACCUGCCCGGUGCUGGAAGGUUAAGAGGGGGAGUCAAUCCUAGCAAUAGGAUGCAGCUUUGAAUCGAAGCCCCAGUAAACGGCGGCCGUAACUAUAACGGUCCUAAGGUAGCGAAAUUCCUUGUCGGGUAAGUUCCGACCUGCACGAAUGGUGUAACGAUUUGGGCACUGUCUCAGCCAUGAGCUCGGUGAAAUUGUAGUCCCGGUGAAGAUGCCGGGUACCCGCAACGGGACGGAAAGACCCCGUGAACCUUUACUGCAACUUAACAUUGAUUUUGGGUAAAUGAUGUGUAGGAUAGGUGGGAGACAGAGAUGCGGCAUC
rnacentral:rRNA from 1 species